rnacentral:tRNA from 1 species
GGGGCUGUAGUUCAUUCGGGAGAACGUUUCACUGGCAGUGAAAAGGUAGGGGGUUCGAAUCCCCCCAGCUCCA